GCGAUGGAAGCUUGCUUCUAUCAAUCUUAGUGGCGAACGGGUGAGUAACGCGUAAUCAACCUGCCCUUCAGAGGGGGACAACAGUUGGAAGCGACUGCUAAUACCGCAUACGAUCCAAUCUCGGCAUCGAGACUGGAUGAAAGGUGGCCUCUAUUUAUAAGCUAUCACUGAAGGAGGGGAUUGCGUCUGAUUAGCUAGUUGGAGGGGUAACGGCCCACCAAGGCGAUGAUCAGUAGCCGGUCUGAGAGGAUGAACGGCCACAUUGGGACCGAGACACGGCCCGGACUCCUACGGGAGGCAGCAGUGGGGAAUCUUCCGCAAUGGACGAAAGUCUGACGGAGCAACGCCGCGUGAGUGAUGACGGCCUUCGGGUUGUAAAGCUCUGUUAAUCGGGACGAAUGGUUCUUGUGCAAAUAGUGCGAGGAUUUGACGGUACCGGAAUAGAAAGCCACGGCUAACUACGUGCCAGCAGCCGCGGUAAUACGUAGGUGGCAAGCGUUGUCCGGAAUUAUUGGGCGUAAAGCGCGCGCAGGCGGAUUGGUCAGUCUGUCUUAAAAGUUCGGGGCUUAACCCCGUGAUGGGAUGGAAACUGCCAAUCUAGAGUAUCGGAGAGGAAAGGGGAAUUCCUAGUGUAGCGGUGAAAUGCGUAGAUAUUAGGAAGAACACCAGUGGCGAAGGCGACUUUCUGGACGAAAACUGACGCUGAGGCGCGAAAGCCGGGGGAGCGAACGGGAUUAGAUACCCCGGUAGUCCUGGCCGUAAACG
rnacentral:rRNA from 1 species